AAUGGGCGGAGCUAUUUUAAUGAAAGGAAUCUCAAUAAAUUGAAUGUCCUGUAUAGUUUUCUGUAAUUCCUACGUGAUUUGUUGAAAACUGAGCAAAAGGCUAAACCAUUAAGCGGAAACUUGUGUUUUUAACUGUUUAUACACUUACAAUGAUUUAGAGAAACUUUGCUAGGACGAUAUCGAACUGCAUACUACUCCUACCUUGUUUAUGUCCGUCACAUCUCACAUGAAUUAUUGCUUCCCGUGCUGGCUUCCCGUGAAUUAGCCUCACGCUAUCCAACUCCUGCGAAUUGGGGAUUCUUGGAAACAUUUUGACAGUAAGAGUGGUACAAGAGUAACGUAUUAUUCAGCGCAAAAUGCAGGCUUGUCCAUCCGAUCGAUCGUUUUGGGGCAUGGUUAUUCAACCGGGCAUAAAACAUAGCUUCAUUGUUGAACGUCCUUUGCAUAUAUCAAAGGCCGUUAUUGAUAUCAGAUCAGGACCUAUAAAAGUAGCGAAUUUUCUGCUGUGACCAGCCUUCUGGUGGAUAUUGGGGAUAACAAAGAAAUUAUCUUAUGCAACCUCUACAUGAGUCAGCCUGAUGGCUACAUGACAAACCAUUACAAAAUCUUUAAGCCGGAAGCGGAUCUUGACUUGUAUUUUAAGGCUGGACAAAUGAUCACAUUUUUUUCUGCCAAACAUUUUCCUUCAGAAUUUGAUAAUACUUAUAAACAAUCUGUUAUUCACUUAUCGGGCUAUAUGCUAUAGCGAAAGGCCUGAGUUGUUUGAUUGACAAUAAACCACACGUACAACGAU